GCGGGUGCGCCUUCCGUCCUGCCACGGCUGAGUCGGUACCGACACCCCUUCCAGGCUGUGUGGGGCCCAGGGCCCCCACACCCCUGGCAGCUGGUUUGUGUCUCCAGCCCGAGUUACAAGGUAACUGCAUUCAAACAUGGAUCUGAACAGGCAGCGGGGACAGAGCAGCGGUGAAGACAGAGGAAGAGCCCAAGUUCGGUUCUGAGUCAGCGCGAACCUCCCCGAGAGGCAGCGAGAGUCCAGGGGAGGCAGAUGCCCAGGUCUGUGCCUCAGACAGACCCUCCGGAAAGUGGGCGCAACUCCUAAGCACUGGGUCAGGUGAUGUCACCCAGCCAUUGUCUCUGAUGUGUGAGGAGAUGAAAAACUUAGGCGGUUUUACAGGCUGUCUGAGGAAUUUUCGACCUAUUUUCUGUUGAAGGGUAUUCGCUGAAGUAUAUCAGUGCUGGAGACACUUGGACGCAUCCUGAAUUGAUCCUGAAGAAACGGCAACUUGGACAGACAGCAUGACAAUUUCUGGGAUUUAUUCUGAAAUAAGACGCUAUGAAUCUUGACCAAAAUAAUCUUAAUACUUAAGAUGUUUCCUAUGGACUCACGUAUCUGUUGCUUCACGAAAAAAAAAAUCCAGAUUAAAAUGACUGAAAUGAGCUUUUUCAUCCCUGUGGGAGGAUUGGGAGUCCUCGCUGCACGGGUGGGCAGUGUGACCGCGGAGCAGACGUCACCGGGUCAUUUGGGGAAGGGGGACCCGCCGUGCACCUGCUCAUCGCCGCGACAGGCCAGCGUGGACUGCACAUCUACCCUUUCCUCACAACCAAGUAUUUCGUGAGAAGAAAGUUGGCUGAAGGCACGGCUGCAGGAGACAGCUCUUUCUGCCUUCCGGCCGUCCAGUGGAAAUGCCUUUUCUCUGAGACAGCCACCUGCUGAGAAUGUCUGACUUCAUCCACCACUCGGUUGUCCUCGUCUCUAACCCCCCUUGAUGUUUAACUGGAGAAGAAAUUCCCUUAAAGGACCAACAUAUUUCUGGAGGAUUACACUUGUAACCUGGAGUCCUUCAAGGACCGUAUGUCACCAAAACCAAAACAAAAGUCUUCUCCUGUGAAAACUGUGACCUCAGGAAGGAGAGGGAAGCUUAGAUCACAAAACAUUUAAAAUUAAAUUAAAAUUAAAAUUAGAUUAAUCCACCUAAUGAGAGGAUUAGUCCAUCCUCUUAUGGGUAUUGGUUACUUAGUCAUACAACGUCGUGCUGCCUCGUGCUGGCUCAACAGCACCCCGGUAAAAUCACACAAGUUCAUGCCAAGCAGCAACGAUGGCAAAGAAGUUACCGAUAGACACUGGGCUUUUGGCCCACAGUUCUGUCCGGGUGUUGGCUGUGCCGUGCUGUGUCUGGGUGGAGGGGAGGGGGC
rnacentral:lncRNA from 1 species